AGUAACCAGCUGUGACUGAGAGGAGUGACCAUUACUCUAGGCAAGUCUGUGAAAUCAACAUUUAGAUGGUCAGAACAGAUCCAGAUGGCCACUGUUACUCUGUUCUUCGCCUGACUUGGCCACCUUGCAGAUGCCUUUUAGAUCAGUGCAGAUCACUCCCACGAUUGGCUAAACAACAGCUCUCAAGGACACUUCCUAUUAAAGGAGAGAAGAAACACAGGGAGCUUUGAGUCAGCUAAGGUGUCCUGAAGAAGUAGGAGCUGUUCCAAGAACAGAAGGAAUGCAUGGGCAUCUGCGGUUGUGUUUAUUGAUCAGGACCCUGAGAUCAUGACCUGAGGGGAAGGCAGAUGCUUAACUGACUGAGCCACGCAGGCGCCCUUGCCACCUUUCUAAUUCAGACCUUCAUCAUUCCCUACCCCUUCUGGCGUCCUUAAGAAGCAGUCAGAUGCAGGGACGCCUGGUCAGAUGGACCCUGGCACUCUUCCCAACACCCUUUCCACAUUACAGCCUGCGUGUGUUGGCUUAUCCGUGACUACUGUUUGAUUCACCUUCCCUGUCAUUCAAGGUAAGUCAGAGAGUUUCUCUCUGAUAACAGCAUGUCUUUUUCUCACCUGCUAAAGUCUCAGUCCAUAACCACACCUUUCUCCAGGAUGGCUCACUGUCUUCCUGGUUUAAGCUGCCUGUGUGUUCAUCUUACCUCUAUGGCUGGAGGAACCUCUGUUCCCCCAAACUCACGUCUCCAUGCGUCAGGACCAACACUGGAAGAUUCAAGUGUUUGUUUUCCUCUUCAGGUAACAAGUUGCAAAAGAAGCAAUUUGACCAAAUUCCCCACUUAAUCAGUUGGCUAGAUCAAGAUAUAGGUCUUGCUCAAAUAAAAGCCAAAGCUGGAAAAAUAUUUGUGACUCAGAAAUGGGAAAAAUUGGAUUGUUCUGGCUCAGGCCAUGUUCUGCUCACCCAGCCUGUUUUCCUGGUGGCCUCCCUGCUUCUGAGCUCUCUGCUAGUCAUAAGGGACACGAGACUGUACACUGCCCUUGUCUCAUACGGAAUGGGAUAGUCAGUUCCAACGGACUGAAUGUUUUCAAAUGAAACUUGUAUUUCUAGCAGCCAUUGGUAGUAAAUGUCAGCUCCCUUAGAACUAUUUGAGGACUCCAAGAAAGUCUUUUAAAAUUUUUCCGUGGCUGCUUCCUUCAGAUUCCAUGCUAGUUUCUUAAAACCCCACUUAUGAGUAGCAAUACUUUCCUUCAGACACUGACCACAAAAUGGAGGGUGUGAGAAGAAAACUAUGAAUCCUUCC